UUCUUCAUUAAUGGGGUUUGAGGGCUCCGAGGUACUAGAAGAAUGGGUUGUAAGGAAGAGAAAUCGUCAAUACGACUCCACUUUUCCUUCACGCAAAUUGAUUUCUGUCAAUUCCCUCUACGCUGGAGGAAUUAGGAAUGGUUCGGAAGUUCGAAUUUCCAAUGUCUGAGUAUCCAAUUUGAGACCGGAAGGGCGGAUGUCGGACUGAAGCUCUGGGAGAUGAGAACGACGAUCUUUGAAUCUUUGUUGCAUUUUGGAGUGUCGAUUCGGAAAGCCAUCCACGUUCACAUGGCCCUCUGUGUUGUGUUGGAUGUUGUUUGAAGAUUGCAGCGGGGAGGCAGUCUAUCCUUUGUAGUAAAUCUCAGGUAGCCGAGAUGAAGGAAGAAGUAGGUGGCAGAGGUGGAAGGACUGGGAGUGACCCCUCUUUGCCGAGAUGGCUGUGCCAAAUGUGUCGGCACCCGUUUUUCGUCACUGGUGCGGACAUUUAUGGAGAGCGAUUCGCAACAGAAUCUGCUGCGCGCUCAGGAGCGCAAGCAUCAGUACAUGGAAGUGGGAGCGUAUUCUCAGGGAGCCGGAUGGAUCACUCUUUUGUGGUCCUCCCGAAGCAGGGUGGACCAAAACCAGCGUUUCCACCCCCUCGCCCUAGAACUGGGGGAAUACACUACCCGACUCCAGGGGUCAAUACAGGUGUAAGUGCCUACUCUUCUCAUACAUCGGCAAACAUUAACGAUACUCAUGGUGGACGAGCUAUGGACGAGUCCUUUGUAGUGUUACCUUCUGCUGAAUCUAUAUUUGAGGCUCCUGGAGACACAUCCAUGGUUCAUAUGGGAGGAACUAGUGGUGGCAAUUCUGCUGGCCAGCACACCAGCAAUGCAAGCUUCAAUGCGUCGGUCAAUGUUCUUUCUCGUGCGUUUGAAAUUGCAUCUACUCAAACACAGGUAGAGCAGCCUUUGUGUUUGGAGUGUAUGCGUGCAUUAUCUGAAGAAUUGGAUAAGCAGAUGGAAGAUGUAAAUAAUGAUAUCAAGGCCUACCAAUCUUGUCUUGAUCGUCUUGAUAAGGAAUCCUUGGAAGUUCUCAGUGAAGAGAAUUUCUUGCGAGAGAUUCGGAAGGCUGAGGAAGAGGAGAGGAAAUUGGAAGAAGCCAUCAGGGAGGCUGAGCAGCAGAAGGAAGAGAUGAUGAUUCAACUUCAAGAUGUCGACCUCAAGACUAAGAAUUUUCAAGAAGUUGAGGAGAAGUUCUGGCAUGAAUGCAAUGACUUCAUGCUGAACCUGACAAUUCAUCAGGAAGAUAGAGAUGGCAUUCUCGCAAAGAUUGAUGUUGUUCAAUCGCAGCUAGAGCUGUUGAAGCGAACAAAUGUACUCAAUGAUGCUUUUCACAUUUGGCAUGAUGGAGAAUUUGGCACUAUCAACAACUUCCGGUUAGGUCGCUUACCUAAUAUUCCUGUGGAAUGGGAUGAAAUUAAUGCAGCCUGGGGUCAGGCUUGCUUGCUUUUGCAUACGAUGGCACAAUACUGUCGUCUAAUUUUCACCAGGCACCGGAUAAUACCAAUGGGCAGCUAUCCUAGGGUUGCCGACAACAAAAACACUUACGAGCUGUUUGGACCAGUGAACCUUUUCUGGAGCUCAAGGUACGAUAAGGCUAUGAUCUUCUUCCUUGUGUGCCUGCAGGAGUUUGCUGAAUUUGCAAACGCCAGGGACCGGGCAGCCAAUAUCCCCCCUGAAAAAUGUUUCAAGCUUCCAUACAAGAUCGAGAAUGACAAAGUUGAGGGGUUUACUAUUACUCAAAGCUUUAAUAGGCAAGAGAAGUGGACAAAAGCUCUAAAGUACACUCUUUGUAAUUUGAAGUGGGCGCUUUAUUGGCUAAUUGGGAACACUGCAUCUCAACCAGCAUCAUCAACACCUUUACCUAUGGGUGCCUCCUCUGGCCACAGUAGCUCCUCUCACGAAAAAGUGGGCUGAGUAAACCUGCCUGCAGAUCAGUCUAAUUUCCUUCGUGCUUCUCAUGCAACUAUACCUGGACUUUGCAGCUUCACGCUGUGCACUCGAAAGUUGUUGUCAGUUCCAACCUUCUGAAUUGGGCGUGCUCUGUAAGCAAAAUCCCUCGGCGUUAAGUUUGGUGUUGGGAACGGAGUUGAACAGUUCAUGCACGCCAAGUGGGUCGCAUUAAAUCCUAUCGGAACAGUGUCUUCGCUAUUUCAAUCCACACUUUGAUGGUGGACCUUGAUGUGCGCCUCAUCUGACAAACGCACAAAUAAAUGAUUUCAUUUCCUGAAAUGUGACAAUCCUUCAACACAAGCCACCAUUCGAGGACUGACAUUCCUCAUCUAAUCGCGUCAACCUCAACCCUGCAUAUGGGGGAACAGGAUCUCUACCUGAAGGAGACACCAGUAGCUUGAUCAUAACUGCCCAACGAUUCACUUAGUUUGAUCGCGGCGGGCCAUGACAUAGUCACCUAUCUUUAGCUCUAGAUUCGAUGAGGCAUAGAACUUGUAGCACAAUUUACCUGAUGUGCCGCUGCUGCCCUUUACAUUGCAGGCACCGAAGCCAUGAGCUGAAUGUUCGCGGGCGACGGCUAUGUAUAGCACACGCAUCGGCAUGUAUUCUGAGGAAUCUUGCAUCCACGGUCCGCUCCUUUUCUUCAUAGCCAAUUCCAUUGCUUUGAUGUGAAUUUCUUCAAGCCAGGGAAACAGGGAAGUCGUAAAUUUUCCAUUGAGGCUGUGUAGUGUUUGCGUAUCUCCGACUAAUUUCUUAAGCGUUGUUAGCGCAACUGUUGGUCUCUCCGGCCUCGGCCGGCCAUUGAACUGUCGCUCAAUGUUACCCA